CAUAACCGAAAUUAUCGGAUCGGGUAGCUCUCGUAAGAACUUCUUUAGCACCUUGGCUAUACACUCCGGUGAGUAGCUGCUCAGAUCGGUGUUGAUUAGAUUUUCGUUGAGUGAGUUACGCAGUUUGUUAACCUCGUCGUAGUUCGGUGACGUUGUCCGAUACAGCUUGUACAGAUGCAGGUUCAAGUUACACAUCGCUUUCUGUUCGAGCUCGUUGCAAAGUAUUAUGACAAUCUGCGGCGCCCGCAGCUCGGCCACGCUAAACUGCUAGCAAAGACCAAGUUCUACGGCCAUUUUCGCUCCCCCACGUUCAUAGAAACAAACGAAGUUUCAUUAUUUCAACGUUACGCAGUUGCUGUUUCGAAGGCUCUCAGUGUCGGUGUGUAUAUUGUGAGAGAAUAAUCGCCAAUUAAUCAGCAUUUCACCGAAAAUGUUACUGCUUUCUAGAAGUAAGCAUACGUCUGCUCUCUGGACCUUUUUACCACAUAAAUAAUCUAAAUAAGCCACAAUACAGUUGUUAUCUGUUAAAAAAUAAACAGUUGAAUGAUUUCAUGAAAAUUUUGGCUCAAAUUAUCAUGCAACCAUAUACAUGGCUUACUGCUCCACCUCGAUAUGUAUCUCAAUGGUAGGGAUGUGUAUUGCAUCUCAGGCUAGGCUUUCGACAUCCGAUCUAACCUCAAUCAAUAUUUUGCCACCUUACACGGUCAAUAUCGCCCUCAACCCGAGACAACGAAAAUAUCCGCGAUGGCUAGUGGCGACAUUCGUGUUUGGGAUCCAAACUAUUCUCCAUCAGAUUAGAAGGCUAAAAGGCAAUUUUCAAUUGGUAAAAUUUGAAUGAAAAUAUCUACUUGGUAUUAUUUAAUUAGUUGAAGCGCGUAGUCCUAACUCUGACUUAACCUAUUUUCUAUGAAUUUUCAGAUAUUCCUACUAAAAUUUAUUAUUAUUAUAUAACGUCAGUUUCAGAUACAAUUUUUGUAUGGGAUUUUCUCACCACUUGCAGAAAAAAAGUGAUUUGCAUUCACAUAGAAUACUAAUUUGAUUUGGAAAAGUUAAUUUUCAUUAAUAAUUUACACUUUAAAACUCGUUUUUCCUUCUCAAAAACACAUCAUAAUACUCGCUUCACAA